GACAGAGGGUGCAAACGUUGUUCGGAAUUACUGGGCGUAAAGCGUGUGUAGGCGGCUUUGCAAGUCGGAUGUGAAAGCCCGGGGCUCAACCCCGGAAGUGCACUCGAUACUGCAGAGCUAGAGUAUCGGAGAGGUUGGUGGAAUUGGCGGUGUAGAGGUGAAAUGCUUAGAUAUCGUCAAGAACACCUAUAGCGAAGGCAGCUUACUAGGCUGUAACUGACGCUGAGGCACGAAAGUGUGGGGAUCAAACAGG
rnacentral:rRNA from 1 species